rnacentral:misc_RNA from 1 species
AACCUUAUGGACCUGCGGGCGUAUACCUGCGGAAGGAUCAUUACACAAUAAACAUAUGAAGGCUGCACCGCCAACAGGCGGCAAGGCUGGAGUAUUUUAUUACCCUUGUCUUUUGCGCACUUGUUGUUUCCUGGGCGGGUUCGCCCGCCUCCAGGACCACAUGAUAAACCUUUUUUAUGCAGUUGCAAUCAGCGUCAGUACAACAAAUGUAAAUCAUUUACAACUUUUAACAAUGGAUCU